AGUGAACGCUGGCGGUAGGCCUAACACAUGCAAGUCGAACGGCAGCACAGAGGAGCUUGCUUCUUGGGUGGCGAGUGGCGGACGGGUGAGGAAUACAUCGGAAUCUACUCUGUCGUGGGGGAUAACGUAGGGAAACUUACGCUAAUACCGCAUACGACCUACGGGUGAAAGCAGGGGACCUUCGGGCCUUGCGCGAUUGAAUGAGCCGAUGUCGGAUUAGCUAGUUGGCGGGGUAAAGGCCCACCAAGGCGACGAUCCGUAGCUGGUCUGAGAGGAUGACCAGCCAGACUGGAACGGAGAUACGGUCCAGACUCCUACGGGAGGCAGAAGUGGGGAAUAUUGGACAAUGGGCGCAAGCCUGGUCCAGCCAUACCGCGUGGGUGAAGAAGGCCUUCGGGUUGUAAAGCCCUUUUGUUGGGAAAGAAAUCCAGCUGGCUAAUACCCGGUUGGGAUGACGGUACCCAAAGAAUAAGCACCGGCUAACUUCGUGCCAGCCGCCGCGGUAA
rnacentral:rRNA from 1 species